rnacentral:misc_RNA from 1 species
UUCUAUAAUUCUAUAAAUACUCUUCUUCAGCUUCCCUUCUAAAACGCCCAUCAUAAUCCAUCUAUUUAUUUCUGUCUAAACAAAGUCUCACCGGAAAGUAUCAGAAAUGGCCGAAAAGAACAAGAUUCUGAUCAUCGGAGGAACUGGGUAUAUCGGAAAAUACAUAGUGGAAGCUAGUGCAAGGUUAGGUCACCCAACUUUUGCUCUUGUGAGAGAAUCCACUCUCUCUGGCCCUGCCAAGGCCACCAUCAUCGACAAUUUCAAGAGCCUUGGCGUCAAUUUCCUCAUUGGAGAUUUGCACGAUUACGAGAGCUUGGUGAAGGCGAUAAAGCAAGUAGAUGUGGUGAUCUCCACAGUAGGUCAAGGUCAAGUACCUGAUCAAGUGAAGAUCAUCGAUGCCAUUAAAGAAGCUGGGAACAUUAAGAGAUUCCUCCCUUCAGAGUUCGGAAAUGAUGUGGAUCAUGUUCAUGCUGUUGAGCCAGCAAAAUCAACCUUUAACGAAAAGGUUAAAGUCCGACGAGCAAUUGAGGCUGCAGGAAUUCCAUAUGCCUAUGUGGCUUCCAACUUUUUUGCUGGGUAUUUUCUUCCCAAUCUCAACCAGCUUGGAGCUACAGCUCCUCCAAGAGAUAAAGUGGUCAUCUUGGGUGAUGGAAAUCCCAAAGCAAUUUUCAACAAGGAAGAUGACAUCGCCACCUAUACCAUAAAAGCCGUAGAUGAUCCAAGAACCUUGAACAAGAUCCUCUAUAUUAGACCUCCAGCCAACAUCUAUUCUUUUAAUGAUCUUGUGUCCUUGUGGGAGAAGAAGAUCGACAAAACCCUUGAAAGGAUCUACGUUCCUGAGGAGCAACUUCUCAAGAACAUUCAAGGUUUCGUCUUUACUCAAAAUUAAAUUAAUAAAACGCACACUAGUGUAAAUCUUGGAGUGCCCAAUUAGCAAGCUUCUAGGAUAAUAAGGUUGACAUUUUCUGUUUGGAUGGUUUCUUGCAGAGGCGGACUUCCCAUUGAAUGUAAUAUACGCACUUGGUCACUCGGUGUUUGUGAAGGGAGAUCAGACCAACUUUGAGAUUGAGGAAUCAUUUGGAGUAGAGGCUUCGGAGCUUUACCCUGAGGUCAAAUACACUACCGUUGACGAGUACCUUAAUGCGUUUGUCUGAGUCUUUUUAAAUUAAUCCCAUCAAUUGUCAUGCAGUUCCCGUCUUCGACUUCCU